GUAGUCGGUGAUGAUGCAUUUUAAAAGUUUGCCUGAUCUCUUCGUAGCAUAUGAAGGCAACUCUAAGUCACUACCUCUUCUGAGACAC